GGGGGGGGGUGGGGGGGUGGGGGGGGGGGGGGGGGGGGGGGGGGGGACGGGAAGGGGGCGUCUCGGAGGGUGGCGGCGGGCGGGUGAGGGAGACGUGGAUAGCCUGCCUAUACGAGUGGGAUGACUUCGGGAAACCGGGGGUACUCCCGGAUAAUAUUUGGACCCGCAUGGUUCAAAAGUGAAAGACGGUCUUGCUGACACUUAUAGAUGGAUCCGCGCUGCAUUAGCUAGUUGGUAAGGUAAGGGCUUACCAAGGCAACGAUGCAUAGCCGACCUGAGAGGGUGAUCGGCCACACUAGAACUGAGACACGGCCCAGACGCCUACGGGAGGCAGCAGUAGGGAAUCUUCCGCAAUGGGCGAAAGCCUGACGGAGCAACGCCGCGUGAGUGAUGAAGGUCUUCGGAUCGUAAAACUCUGUUAUUAGGGAAGAACAUAUGUGUAAGUAACUGUUCACAUCUUGACGGUACCUAAUCAGAAAGCCACGGCUAACUACGUG
rnacentral:rRNA from 1 species